UACUAACCCCGACAGCGCCGGUAUCCUCGCAGCGAAGCGGAGAGAUAAAGGCAAUGGCGGGAACAGGG
rnacentral:misc_RNA from 1 species